rnacentral:rRNA from 1 species
GACGUAGGGCGCGAGCGUUGUCCGGAUUUAUUGGGCGUAAAGAGCUCGUAGGCGGUCUGUCGCGUCUGCUGUGAAAACUCGGGGCUUAACCCCGGGCCUGCAGUGGGUACGGGCAGACUAGAGUGCGGUAGGGGAGACUGGAAUUCCUGGUGUAGCGGUGAAAUGCGCAGAUAUCAGGAGGAACACCCGUGGCGAAAGCGGCUCUCUGGGACGGUACUGACGCUGAGACGCGAAAGCGUGGGGAGCAAACAGG